UGGGGAAUAUUGCACAAUGGGCGAAAGCCUGAUGCAGCAACGCCGCGUGAGUGAUGAAGGUCUUCGGAUUGUAAAGCUCUGUCUUUUGGGACGAUAAUGACGGUACCAAAGGAGGAAGCCACGGCUAACUACGUGCCAGCAGCCGCGGUAAUACGUAGGUGGCGAGCGUUGUCCGGAUUUACUGGGCGUAAAGGGUGCGUAGGCGGAUGUUUAAGUGAGAUGUGAAAUACCCGGGCUUAACUUGGGUGCUGCAUUUCAAACUGGAUAUCUAGAGUGCAGGAGAGGAGAAUGGAAUUCCUAGUGUAGCGGUGAAAUGCGUAGAGAUUAGGAAGAACACCAGUGGCGAAGGCGAUUCUCUGGACUGUAACUGACGCUGAGGCACGAAAGCGUGGGUAGCAAACAGGAUUAGAUACCCUGGUAGUCCACGCCGUAAACGAUGAGUACUAGGUGUAGGAGGUAUCGACCCCUUCUGUGCCGCAGUAAACACAUUAAGUACUCCGCCUGGGAAGUACCGAUCGCAAGAUU
rnacentral:rRNA from 1 species